UUUCAGCGUGUGAGGAAUGACUGCACAAACUCCGAGUUGUCAUCCCAAACAAAGAGCAGCGCAGGCCACGGAUCUAAGCUCUGCGAGGAAAUCAUUCUCACCUAAAUCCCACCGAGACGAAAAAGGAUUGGAGGAUUACAGUGAGCACUCACUUAGCUCUAAUCAAAGUGCAAAGCUGCACAGGCUACAUUUGUCCUUGUUAGACAUUUACGUUGUGAGGGAGCUGCGUUUAAAGCAGAGCUGUAACACUUAGUUAAUCAGGCUUGUGAGUAAUUGCUUGCACACUUUUGCGUCUGCUUUGGAAACAUCUCCCCUUAAGAUAUAUUUUUGCUCACUCUACGCUCUUUAAUGUUUUUUUUGAACACCUCUGAAAAUGUUCACGUUGCCUUUCAGCAUGCCUUUAAUUCGGAAUGAGGGCAGACGGAAACACUCUCAUCUGAUCGGCUCCACCCUCAAAACAUGAGCGUGGAUCCUUGUUGCUUCUAUAAAGUGUUUUUGAUGGCGCCUUGUUAUCCCGGAGCACUGCGAGCGCGUCUCUGAUCUCCAUAUAGAAGGGGCCGCGUGCAGAGUUUCCUCGGGGGAUGUGACUUCUACUGCGCCGUCUCUUUGCACACAGGUAACAGGGAAGAUAGAAAGCACAGCCUGUCUCGCAUCUGCAGGGAGCAGGGGAAAGACAAAGGGAAACCCUGAAGCUGUCUCACAAAAAAAAGCAGGCAGCUCGACCCGAAGUCCGCCUCUCCCUCCACUGGGACAGAGGCUGAUGUUCAGCCCGAUGGGACGAACAGGAGCAGCUGAGGUUCACUCCAACUUUCCUCGCAGAACUGGGUGCAGCAGAGACUCUCAGUGGAUCUCACAGUAUUGUGCGGGAUGCACACAUAAAUUCACCUGCACUUGACUUACAAUAAAAUCUAGGUCAUUGCACCAACAUUUUCACUGCUUCACUGCAGGAAUUAAAGUGAUUUGUAUAACCACAAAA